AACGUAGGAGACAAGCGUUAUCCGAAUUUACUGGGCGUAAAGCGCGUGCAGGUGGUGAGGUAAGUGGAAUGUGAAAACUCCUGGCUCAACUGGGAGAGGCCGUUCCAAACUACCCCACUCGAGGGCGGUAGAGGGAGGUGGAAUUCCCGGUGUAGUGGUGAAAUGCGUAGAUAUCGGGAGGAACACCUGUGGCGAAAGCGGCCUCCUGGACCGCACCUGACGCUCAAACGCGAAAGCUAGGGGAGUGAACGGG
rnacentral:rRNA from 1 species